UGGAUCAUGGAGGAGAGACGAGGAUUACAGCAGGACCACGCAAAUAUGUCUGUUUCCUCACUCUGGAUCCAAACACAGCACACACUCAACUCAUUCUGUCUGAGGAGAACAGAGAGGUGAAGAGUGUGAGAGAGAAACAGCCGUAUCCUGAUCAUCCAGACAGAUUUGAUUAUCCUCAGGUGUUGUGCAGAGAGAGUGUGUGUGGACGCUGUUACUGGGAGAUUGACUGCAGUGGAGAUGAUUAUGGUGUGUGUAUAUCAGUGUCAUAUAAGAGCAUCAGGAGGAAGGGAAGAGGUGAUGAGUGUUGGUUUGGACGUAAUGCUCAGUCCUGGAGUUUGAUCUGCUUUUCCUCCAGUUUCUCAUUCAUACACAAUCACACACGCACUGAUCUCCCAGUAAAGCCGCUCAGCAGGAGAAUAGGAGUGUUUGUGGAUCACAGUGCAGGAACUCUGAUCUUCUACAACAUCUAUAGUGACACAAUGAGCCUCAUCCACUCAGUCCAGACCACAUUCACUGAGCCGCUCUGCCCUGGGUUUGGGCUUUAUCCUGGAUCA
ensembl:processed_transcript